GAUGAACGCUGGCGGCGUGCCUAAUACAUGCAAGUCGAGCGAACGGACGAGAAGCUUGCUUCUCUGAUGUUAGCGGCGGACGGGUGAGUAACACGUGGAUAACCUACCUAUAAGACUGGGAUAACUUCGGGAAACCGGAGCUAAUAACGGAUAAUAUUUUGAACCGCAUGGUUCAAAAGUGAAAGACGGUCUUGCUGUCACUUAUAGAUGGAUCCGCGCUGCAUUAGCUAGUUGGUAAGGUAACGGCUUACCAAGGCAACGAUGCAUAGCCGACCUGGGAGGGUGAUCGGCCACACGGGAACGGAGACGCGGUCCAGACUCCUACGAGAGGCAGCAGUAGGGAAUCUGCCGCAAUGGGCGAAAGCCUGACGGAGCAACGCCGCGUGAGUGAUGAAGGUCUUCGGAUCGUAAAACUCUGUUAUUAGGGAAGAACAUAUGUGUAAGGAACUGUGCACAUCUUGACGGUACCUAAUCAGAAAGCCACGGCUAACUACGUG
rnacentral:rRNA from 1 species